rnacentral:misc_RNA from 1 species
GAUGAAGAACGUAGCGAAAUGCGAUAAGUAAUGUGAAUUGCAGAAUUCAGUGAAUCAUCGAAUCUUUGAACACACAUUGCGCCCGCCAGUAUUCUGGCGGGCAUGCCUGUUCGAGCGUCAUUACAACCCUCAGGCCCCCGGGCCUGGCGUUGGGGAUCGGCGGAGCCCCCCGUGGGCACACGCCGUCCCCCAAAUACAGUGGCGGUCCCGCCGCAGCUUCCAUCGCGUAGUAGCUAACACCUCGCGACUGGAGAGCGGCGCGGCCACGCCGUAAAACACCCAACUCUUCUGAAGUUGACCUCGAAUCAGGUAGGGAUACCCGCUGAACUUAAGCAUAUCAAUAAGCGGAGGA